rnacentral:sRNA from 1 species
UAGUUAUACCAAAUAUUAUAGCCAUUGC